GGCCCUUUCUGCUAAAUUACGAUCUUUGGGGUUUGAUAAUCUAAGUCAUAAAAGUGUGAAGUUGAUGCCUUUUGGUUCUGUCCGUCCGUUUAUACCGUCAAAUCGCUAUAUAUUGACAUCAUCAGUUAUCUCAGCUAUGAGGUCUCAAAUCUGAAUGUCUGAUAUUAUAUAUAUAUUUUUUUAAACUGAAAGAAUUUAAGACCUUUUUUUUUUUUUUUUUUUUUGUGAAAAUACACAAAGACAAUUUUCCCUGAUAUUCUGACUACAAAGUCCCUUAAAUGACAGAUUCCUCAACAUGACAUUUUUUUACAACCAUGAAGAAG
rnacentral:lncRNA from 1 species